AAGGUUUUAAGUUAUUAAAACUAUUAUCCUUCAAAGUUAAAAAUAUGAAUAUUUGUAAGCCUUA
rnacentral:tRNA from 1 species